CCCAAUCUCGUUCGUGGCGGCGCGCGAAGGAAAGCAAGCAGCGGCGAGCAAGCAGGAGCGGCGGCGGCGGGCAAGCAGCAGGGGCCUCGACGAUAAUUUGGUAGUUAUACCAUCUCCUUCUCCUGUCUAGCCGUCCCCGUCCACACCGCCUCCCCCAGAUCCACAUCCUUGGGCCGCAACUGCGGCCUCCUCCGUCCACACCGCCUCACCUCCUACUCAGCGAGGGCCAGAGGCUAGCAUGGAAAACGGUCGACCACGAACGUCGAUGUGCUUCCCCUCAUCUCUAUCUUUCCCUACAGUCUGCCUCCUUAGCCGGCGACGGCCAUGGACUAGGGACGGCGUCGGGAGGGAGCGCCGAGCACAUGAGGCGGGUGAACCAAGGCGGGCGAUUAUUCUCUUUUUCUCUCAGUCAUUGCUGAUUCCACUCUCCUUCCCCGAUCUGUUUCUCUUUAACUGCAGCACGAGUUGCCAGGAUCCUGUGGCCCGGCCAGCUAAAUGCUAAACACUACGCAGCAGGACAUCGCGUAUGAUCCUCUUCUAUUUUCCAAUUAGCCAUUUGGACAUUCUUUUAUGCGACGCAAAAGCCUCAAAUAUUCCUGCUGAUGUAUGGCAAUACAACUUGCUUAGUAAUCUUCGUGAAGUAGGUCUUUGCAAUAUGAUUAGGACGAGAUCAACUCAGUUGUGUUGCGCUGUCCAGCAUGAGUCAAAGUAUGCAUAGUUUACCUUUUAUCUUCUUAGGUCCAAUUAUUUCCUUUGACAUGAACAAUUUUUUUCGGUUUGCCAACUGGUUGUGUUACGGUUGUUUCCAUUCUUAUGGUAGUAUAGGUUGAUCCAGAGUUUUUUUCUUCUUCCAGUUCAGUUUUGUCUCGGUGCACCACGGGAGUCGUUUGAGAGUUGUGUACUGUCCAAUUGCUGUUCUUUUCUCAUGUUUAUUCUAAUCAGUUCGUGGAGGCCAGAUGAAACAUACAUGUGAGCAAAGCAAAUAACCAUGUCCACCACCCCAUCGAUUCCUAUUCCUAAAUACAUGAUAUUUCACUAAUUAAAUGGAGAACAUUUGUAUUGUUGUGGUUUAAUAUCUGUUAUGGCAUCAUCAAGUCUGAGAGAUGCAUCCAUAAGAGUAUGUUGUAUAUAACUGUUGUUGGGUGCGUCAAUAAAAUGUACCCAGUCUGUGACUAAUUUCCUACAGCUCCAAUUGGUUAUUUAUUCUUUUUUUAGCAAACAAGUAGAACCUUCAACAGGAUUCUGAUUUUUUUUUCUUGAGAUAUCAGAUGCUAUGGUUGACAUUGACAGUGUUUUUCUGCUGGAGAACUUGGUGCAGGAUAAAUAACAUAACCAUUAGAACCUCAGGAUUUGAGGUGAUGUUUUGUUUUCCAGUUUCUUAUGGAGCCAUAUAUAAAAUGUAUGCCUAUCCUAUUGUAGUAUAUAACGAUGUGUUCGAACCAUAAUUCCAAUCUUAUUUGAUGCCUCACCAAAAAUAUUUUAGGGGUAUCGGCAGUAUGCCAGUGCAUGACAAGAAAGAUGCCUCUCCCUCGUACUCUAUCAUCUCCAGUCCUCCACAAACUGCUUCAAUACCCACUGAAAGCUUCAUUGGUUAUUUCUGUUAAUAUCCAAUUCUUCAUCUCUUCACAAGAUUCAGUCCUCUAAUUAUAGAACUUUUUUUCCAUGCCAGAUCAUAAAUGUCAUAGUUUAAAUUUUAGUUAUAUUAAUGUAAGUUGUCGUCCUUUCAAGCUAACGAGCUGUUGCUUAUGGGACAAAUCCUUGUUCAUUAACUGAAAAUGAUAUCCAUGAAUUGACUCAGUUAUUUCAUGAGUUUGGUCCUAAUGACCAGUGUUCUAUCAUCAUACGGCCAAGUCCAAUUUUUUCAUUGUUGGAAUAAUACAGUAGGCUAAGCUUUUCCUCGUGUAUAUUUCCCUCAGCACUAUUUCUAUAUAUGUGACCAGCCUCUUCCAAUGCUCUUUUUUUUUUUGCCAAAUGUAGGCUAACCCUUUGCUUGCUUUUAUGAAAUAUCUCUGAUUUCCUGUAAUUCGUUCAUCAGGUGCAGCCUGCAGAGCCAGAUUUUCAACUAUUGUUAAUGGUGCUCGAGCGUUGUAUAGGCCAGUUGCCAUCACUGCUCCCUCUGCUGCGCAUAUUCAAAGAGCAGAAACUAUUAUCAAGUACUCAUUCUCACCUGUUGUUGAUCAAAAUGAAUAUUGCAGUGAGUUGGCUGCAGCGCUAAUCAGCACACCAUUGUAAAAGCUUGUGUCAUAUAACUGAUAAUCUGCUUGCCCUGUUGUGGUGUCUAUUGAAUGCUGGUUUAAGAGUGAAGAAGGUUUAUUUUCAAUGCGAAGCCACAGACUAAGCAACUUGGUCAUGCGCAUCAAGAAUCGCGAGUGCUGGGGAAACUGGUGAAAAUUUUACAGUUGAUAGCUGUAGACAAUACAUAGUUAUAGUGAAUAUUUCUCAGCAGAAUAUGCAGUCUAAACGAUGUCAUUUUGGCAUUUUUUCAGUUCUCUUUUCUUUAUGUAUGAACAAUCUACAUGACUUUUUAAACAACUAUUUGAGUUAAUUCAUAUCUAUGUUUCGAACCAGGAUGUUCAGUGAAGUGGUUCUAAAUCAUGAUGUCCAUUGUUGUCCUCUGUAUAGUUGCUUGAGCUACUGCAAAAUUUUAGUCAGAGGGAGAAAGAGAAGAAAGUUGUUGUGGAUACAAAUAACAAUGCUCAAGGAGACAUGCCGGUAAGAAGAGGUUGACGAGUUGAAGACAAGCAACAAGAGCAAAGCCUGGUGAUUAAAACAGUGUGUCGUAAUACAUGUAAUGAGUUUUUCAUGUUAUGCAUUGCAUUAAACUAUGUUGUGGAAGCAUUGCCAUCUUAACCUUCAAGAGCCUCUUAUAUCAAGAAAAUUAA